GAUGAAGAACGCAGCGAAAUGCGAUACGUAAUGUGAAUUGCAAAUUCAGUGAAUCAUCGAGUCUUUGAACGCACAUUGCGCCCCCUGGUAUUCCGGGGGGCAUGCCUGUCCGAGCGUCAUUGCUGCCCUCAAGCACGGCUUGUGUGUUGGGCCCCGUCCUCCGAUCCCGGGGGACGGGCCCGAAAGGCAGCGGCGGCACCGCGUCCGGUCCUCGAGCGUAUGGGGCUUUGUCACCCGCUCUGUAGGCCCGGCCGGCGCUUCCCGAUCAACCCAAAUUUUUAUCCAGGUUGACCUCGGAUCAGGUAGGGAUACCCGCUGAACUUAAGCAUAUCAAUAAGCGGAGGA
rnacentral:misc_RNA from 1 species